UACGUAGGGGGCGAGCGUUGUCCGGAUUCAUUGGGCGUAAAGCGCGCGUAGGCGGCCCCGCAAGUCGGCCGUGAAAUCUCCGGGCUCAACUCGGAGGGGUCGGGCGAGACUGCGAGGCUCGAGGUGGGCAGAGGGCAGUGGAAUUCCGGGUGUAGUGGUGGAAUGCGUAGAGAUCCGGAGGAACACCAGUGGCGAAGGCGGCUGCCUGGGCCUGGCCUGACGCUGAGGCGCGAAAGCGUGGGGAGCGAUCCGG
rnacentral:rRNA from 1 species